GGGUUGUGAGGUUAAGCGACUAAGCGUACACGGUGGAUGCCCUGGCAGUCAGAGGCGAUGAAGGACGUGCUAAUCUGCGAUAAGCGUCGGUAAGGUGAUAUGAACCGUUAUAACCGGCGAUUUCCGAAUGGGGAAACCCAGUGUGAUUCGUCACACUAUCAUUAACUGAAUCCAUAGGUUAAUGAGGCGAACCGGGGGAACUGAAACAUCUAAGUACCCCGAGGAAAAGAAAUCAACCGAGAUUCCCCCAGUAGCGGCGAGCGAACGGGGAGCAGCCCAGAGCCUGAAUCAGUGUGUGUGUUAGUGGAAGCGUCUGGAAAGGCGCGCGAUACAGGGUGACAGCCCCGUACACAAAAAUGCACAUACUGUGAGCUCGAUGAGUAGGGCGGGACACGUGGUAUCCUGUCUGAAUAUGGGGGGACCAUCCUCCAAGGCUAAAUACUCCUGACUGACCGAUAGUGAACCAGUACCGUGAGGGAAAGGCGAAAAGAACCCCGGCGAGGGGAGUGAAAAAGAACCUGAAACCGUGUACGUACAAGCAGUGGGAGCACAGAGCAAUCUGUGUGACUGCGUACCUUUUGUAUAAUGGGUCAGCGACUUAUAUUCUGUAGCAAGGUUAACCGAAUAGGGGAGCCGAAGGGAAACCGAGUCUUAACUGGGCGUUAAGUUGCAGGGUAUAGACCCGAAACCCGGUGAUCUAGCCAUGGGCAGGUUGAAGGUUGGGUAACACUAACUGGAGGACCGAACCGACUAAUGUUGAAAAAUUAGCGGAUGACUUGUGGCUGGGGGUGAAAGGCCAAUCAAACCGGGAGAUAGCUGGUUCUCCCCGAAAGCUAUUUAGGUAGCGCCUCGUGAAUUCAUCUCCGGGGGUAGAGCACUGUUUCGGCAAGGGGGUCAUCCCGACUUACCAACCCGAUGCAAACUGCGAAUACCGGAGAAUGUUAUCACGGGAGACACACGGCGGGUGCUAACGUCCGUCGUGAAGAGGGAAACAACCCAGACCGCCAGCUAAGGUCCCAAAGUCAUGGUUAAGUGGGAAACGAUGUGGGAAGGCCCAGACAGCCAGGAUGUUGGCUUAGAAGCAGCCAUCAUUUAAAGAAAGCGUAAUAGCUCACUGGUCGAGUCGGCCUGCGCGGAAGAUGUAACGGGGCUAAACCAUGCACCGAAGCUGCGGCAGCGACGCUGAUGCGUUGUUGGGUAGGGGAGCGUUCUGUAAGCCUGUGAAGGUGUGCUGUGAGGCAUGCUGGAGGUAUCAGAAGUGCGAAUGCUGACAUAAGUAACGAUAAAGCGGGUGAAAAGCCCGCUCGCCGGAAGACCAAGGGUUCCUGUCCAACGUUAAUCGGGGCAGGGUGAGUCGACCCCUAAGGCGAGGCCGAAAGGCGUAGUCGAUGGGAAACAGGUUAAUAUUCCUGUACUUGGUGUUACUGCGAAGGGGGGACGGAGAAGGCUAUGUUGGCCGGGCGACGGUUGUCCCGGUUUAAGCGUGUAGGCUGGUUUUCCAGGCAAAUCCGGAAAAUCAAGGCUGAGGCGUGAUGACGAGGCACUACGGUGCUGAAGCAACAAAUGCCCUGCUUCCAGGAAAAGCCUCUAAGCAUCAGGUAACAUCAAAUCGUACCCCAAACCGACACAGGUGGUCAGGUAGAGAAUACCAAGGCGCUUGAGAGAACUCGGGUGAAGGAACUAGGCAAAAUGGUGCCGUAACUUCGGGAGAAGGCACGCUGAUAUGUAGGUGAAGUCCCUCGCGGAUGGAGCUGAAAUCAGUCGAAGAUACCAGCUGGCUGCAACUGUUUAUUAAAAACACAGCACUGUGCAAACACGAAAGUGGACGUAUACGGUGUGACGCCUGCCCGGUGCCGGAAGGUUAAUUGAUGGGGUCAGCGCAAGCGAAGCUCUUGAUCGAAGCCCCGGUAAACGGCGGCCGUAACUAUAACGGUCCUAAGGUAGCGAAAUUCCUUGUCGGGUAAGUUCCGACCUGCACGAAUGGCGUAAUGAUGGCCAGGCUGUCUCCACCCGAGACUCAGUGAAAUUGAACUCGCUGUGAAGAUGCAGUGUACCCGCGGCAAGACGGAAAGACCCCGUGAACCUUUACUAUAGCUUGACACUGAACAUUGAGCCUUGAUGUGUAGGAUAGGUGGGAGGCUUUGAAGUGUGG
rnacentral:rRNA from 1 species